GGAAAACCAGUUUUUUAAACUUCUUGACGCAGAAGUUUGACAGUUUAAGGAUUCUGCUCCAAGCCUUACCUUUCUGGCAAAAGCUGAAAUCAAUUGGGAAGCACGAACAAACAAGUGGUGACUCUCUAUCCUCUACAUCAAAGUGGCAUGGUGGGGAAGAAGGUAGAUAAGAUAACUCGGAGAAAAGGAAGAGGGGACGGAAAGCUGUCAUGGUUUCGUUUUGAUUGCGCACAACAAUCGUGACAGGCAAUUAACCAAAAAAAAAAAGUGACAGGCAAGGUAAACAUGGAACAGCAACAUCAUCACCAUCAGGAACUAAAGCACAGCCUCGCAAGCAGAAAAAUGACUAAACAUGAAUAACUAUUGUACAGCUAUAACUGGAAGAACCAAUGCCUCGAACCAGCUCCAACAACAACUCCAGCAUUUUGCGCAGCUUUUCCUUUUGGUAAAGGGAUUGAUCCCCUUAACAAGAUCAAUCAUAAUCACCACCAUGUAACAAUAAGUCCCGCAGCAAAGCGCGGGCACCUUUUCUAGUGUUUUACUAUAACACAUGGUCUGAGAGCCUAUAUAACUCUUUGAAUUGGUGUCUCUUGCCGCCAUCGAUGCUUUUGCAUGACAUUCUGGUGAUUCUUUCGAACAAUGUUAUGAUCAUUUUUUUAUUUUACUAGAAUGUAUAUUCUACCUUUUGAAUAGAAGGUAGCACAUAAAUAAACAAAUAGAAUAU
rnacentral:lncRNA from 1 species